CCUACGGGCGGCUGCAGUGAGGAAUAUUGGUCAAUGGACGAGAGUCUGAACCAGCCAAGUAGCGUGAAGGAUGACUGCCCUAUGGGUUGUAAACUUCUUUUAUAUGGGAAUAAAAUGUUCCACGUGUGGGAUUUUGUAUGUACCAUAUGAAUAAGGAUCGGCUAACUCCGUGCCAGCAGCCGCGGUAAUACGGAGGAUCCGAGCGUUAUCCGGAUUUAUUGGGUUUAAAGGGAGCGUAGGUGGAUUGUUAAGUCAGUUGUGAAAGUUUGCGGAUCAACCGUAAAAUUGCAGUUGAAACUGGCAGUCUUGAGUACAGUAGAGGUGGGCGGAAUUCGUGGUGUAGCGGUGAAAUGCUUAGAUAUCACGAAGAACUCCGAUUGCGAAGGCAGUUCACUGGACUGCAACUGACACUGAGGCUCGAAAGUGUGGGUAUCAAACAGGAUUAGAUACCCGAGUAGUC
rnacentral:rRNA from 1 species